rnacentral:rRNA from 1 species
GACGAACGCUGGCGGCGCGCCUAGCACAUGCAAGUCGAGCGAUGAAAUUUUAACCGAUCUCUUCGGAGAGAAGAUAAAAUGGAUUAGCGGCGGACGGGUGAGUAACACGUGAGAAACCUGCCUUUCACAAGGGGAUAGCCUCGGGAAACCGGGAUUAAUACCCUAUGACACAUUUCCUUCGCAUGGAAGAAAUGUUAAAACUCCGGUGGUGAAAGAUGGUCUCGCGCCUGAUUAGCUAGUUGGUGGGGUAACGGCCCACCAAGGCCAUGAUCAGUAACCGGCCUGAGAGGGUGAACGGUCACAUUGGAACUGAGACACGGUCCAAACUCCUACGGGAGGCAGCAGUGGGGAAUAUUGCACAAUGGAGGAAACUCUGAUGCAGCGACGCCGCGUGAGCGAUGAAGGCUUUCGAGUCGUAAAGCUCUGUCCUAUGGGAAGAUAAUGACGGUACCAUAGGAGGAAGCCCCGGCUAACUACGUG